UACAGAGGGUGCAAGCGUUGUUCGGAAUUAUUGGGCGUAAAGCGCGUGUAGGCGGCUUUGCAAGUCGGGUGUGAAAUCCCUCAGCUUAACUGGGGAACUGCGUCUGAUACUGGCGAGCUUGAGUGCAGGAGAGGAACGCGGAAUUCCAGGUGUAGCGGUGAAAUGCGUAGAUAUCUGGAGGAACACCGGUGGCGAAGGCGGCGUUCUGGACUGCAACUGACACUGAGAAACGAAAGCCAGGGUAGCAAACGGG
rnacentral:rRNA from 1 species